ACGGCACGCACAAAGCAUCGAUGAGCACCAUGCAUGGAUCAUCACAGCGAAGACGUGCUUAGCUUGCGUAACCAGUAUGUAUCGUCGGAGUAGCUAGCCGAUGAAUUAGUAGCUGUAGUUCUUGACGAACAUGCCCUCCUUGGCCUCGGCGGCCUCGCCGUCGGAGGUGUACUUGCCGAGCUGCGCCAGCGAGUUGGCCUUGGCGCGCAGCAGCAGCGCGUCCUGCGCCGCCUUGACGUUCUCCGGCACGCCGCCCCACGUCUUGAGGCAGGUGUUCUGCAGCGCCCGCGCGUAGGAGAAGGACACGUGCCACGGGUUGGGCCCCUGGUUCAUGGCGUUGAGGUUCUGCGUCGCCUCCACCUCCGACUGCCCGCCGGAGAGGAACAUGAUGCCGGGGACGGAGGGCGGGAUGCGGCGGUGGAGGAGCUUCAGGGUGUACUCGGCGACCUGCUCCGGCGUGGCCCGGUCCUUAGCCUCGGCGCCCGGCGUCACCAUGGAUGGCUUGAGCAGGAUGCCCUCGAACAUGACGUUGUUCUCCGCCAUGGCGUAGAAGGUCUCGGCCCACACCUUCUGCGCCACCUCGAAGGUCCGCUCGAUGCCGUGCUCGCCGUCCAGCAGGAUCUCCGGCUCUACGAUCGGCACAAGUCCGUUGUCCUGCUCGGUCGAUUCCAUUCCAUCGGUGUUAGCUUUUAUUAAUUAGCUGGAUGAACUAUCUCCAUGGCUAGAAGCAAGCAAGAAGGCGUACCUGCGAGAUGGCGGCGUAGCGGGCGAGCCCCCAUGCGGCCUCCUUGACGGCGAGCUCGGAUGGCCCGUUGGGGAUGCUGACGACGGUGCGCCACUUGGCGAAUCGGGCGCCCUGCUGGUAGUAGGCGGCCUCGCGGGCGGCGAGGCCGUCGAGGCCCUGGCACCAGGACUCGUCGUUGGAGCCGGCGAGCGGGACGAGGCCCUUGUCGACCUUGAUCCCGGGCACGAUGCCCUGCUCGGUGAGGAUGUCGACGAUCCGGCGGCCGUCGACGGCGGACUGGUAGAGCGUCUCCUCGAAAAGGAUGGCGCCGGAGAUGUAGUUGCCCAGCCCCGGCGCGGUGACCAGCAGCGUCCUGUACGCCUGCCGGUUGGCCUCCGUGUUCUCCAGCCCGAUGGAUGCCAGCCGCUUCCCGCACGUCGCGUUCGACUCGUCCAUGGCCAGGAUGCCGCGCCCAGGCGACGCGAUCGUUUUCUGCAACUCACCAUGUCAUCAUUAUUUCUUUCAGCAAGCAAGAUGGCGAUAGUGACAGUUUCGAUCGGCCACUAGUGAAGAAACGACGAACGCACCGCUGUCUUGACGAGCUCAUCGGCGUAGGCGCUGGCGCGGACGACCACGGAGACGGUGACCGGCCGGGGCGCGGUGAGCUGCCUGGCGGCGCCCCAUUCCGACUUCUUGGGAAGGAAGGAGGACUUGAGCAGGGUAGCAGAGGCCAUCUUCUUCUUCCUCGAUGCUCUUGCUGUCUUCUGAAGUUCAGCUCAGCUCAGGCUGGCAGUGGCCUCAGGUUCACACCAGUGAACAACGAAUGGAGUGUCUCCUUCCUUGGGGUGAGAGCUGCAGCCACAUCACAUAUUUAAGGUUUCUGCCAGGUAAACCAGUGGUGGCUGGACAAGGGAAGGAAGGAUAAAAAGACAUGCGUUGUGAGGCUGAGGUUGCUGCCCUCUGGAUUUCAGUGGAUGGAGUGGCUGCUUCUCACUGGUUCCCAUGGUCUCUUCAAAAGAGUAGGACCAUGCACGGUUAUCACCUCCUUUUUGUUUUGUCCUGAUCCGGAUUCCUGAUUCUAGGGAAGAUCUUUUCUGUGAUUUCCAUCCCAUUUUAACUGUGUGCUGUAAAAAAAUGACAAAAAGUUCAGAGAAAAAGGGACAGCUCAACUCUGGAAUCUUCGUGGCAGCUCAACCAUGGGAUUGCCUGAAUGUUGCUGGCCUCAAAAUUUCAAUAAGGAUCCCAGUUUAUUAUAUAUAUAUCUAUAAAAAAAAAGGAUCCCGGCUUUGGGUGAUGAGGCUGACAGGGAGGUUUCUGUGGGCGCGCCAAACCAGCAACUGUUGCCCGUAGAUGCGCGCCUGCGGUGGACAUCCAUCCAUCGAUUCCCACGGUUUGUCAUCGUGGUUUUCGCAGAACGCCGCGGAUUUCUUGGGGGCUUCUGGUGAUGCCAACGGCUGCAGCUACGAGUUGUUUGUUGCCAUGCGCGGUGUGGAGAGCUCUGCAGGCAAGCAAUGGCGAUCCAGGGGCGUCCGGUCAUGUCGCGCUCCUGCAUAUCAUCUGUCACAACACAUGAGACAUUGAUCCACGUAUACGGAAAUGGACGAACUGUUCUAAUCUGUCGUCUACGGAAAUGGACGAACUGUUCCAAUCUUUCGUAUACGGAAAUGGACGAACUGUUCCAACCUGUCGUAUACGGGAAUAGACGAACUGUACCCAUCUUUCAUUGGUUGUAUUCAAGAAAUUACUGGAUGGAGAUACACAUGAUUCUUUCCUGGACAACCAGAGCAAAUACCUGACAAAUGAUUGUAACCAUCCCUGAUAUUGUAAUGUGAAAAACAGAGAUUUUGAGAAAUCAUCAAUAAGAAAUAGGUUUGUGAUGAGAACAUGUUUACAAAUGGAUUGGUAAUUCAAAUGGACAGAUCUAGAUGCCUACCUUAUAGGACAACGGCAGUGUACACUGGAAACAAAAAUCAGUAAUGGUACAAACCUGAGAAUUAUCAACAACAUUCAUGACAAGACAACAGGACUCCUAAGUAGCAUCAUAGCACCUAAAUUUUGUUACACUUGUACCAUAGUAUGCUCUUUCCACUAACUACUAGUACCACUGCAGAAAUUUAACAGCUUUUUGGUGGGCAUUGGUAAUAGAUCAACUGCUCAAUUGGCAUAUGGGAGCAUCUGGAAAGCAGAAUCCUCUGAUACCAAUUAGCUCUCAGCGGGCUUCAAAAGUUCACCAAGAUCCACAUGCAAGCUGUUCCUCAUGGUCCGCCUUCCUGCUCCACCAGCAUUGCCCUUUCUCAUCAUCGCCACAAACUCGCUAUAAUCAAUUUGUCCAUCCUGAAAAAUGAUGCAUAAUAAUGAGACAAUAGGACAAGUAUGGAGAAGGAUUCAAAGAACAAGAGGGGUUAAGAAGACCAACAUUGUUUUGAUCCACAUCUUUGAUCAUAUCCUCAAGAUGAACAUCAGAAAGACCAAACUGUUGGCAUGCUUGCGAGAGCUCAUCAAUUGUUAUGAAGCCACUCCCAUCCUUGUCAAAGAAUGCAAACGCUGACACCAAGCUUUCCUCCCUCUCCAGUUUAUUCAUGUGCAAUGUAGCUGCCAAGAACUCUCCAUAGUCAAUGGUUCCACUGUUGUCAAUAUCAGCCUGAUAUACAAGACAAACCCAGAUUACAAUCUCAACGGUCCAUACAAUCAAAGGCUGCUACAGUGCAUCUAUUUUAUGUGGACAAUAGACUCGACGCAAUAGUAGUACUUACUGCAUCCAUUAAAGCCUGGAUUUCAGGUUCCAUCAGAUCCGACCCCACCCUUUUCAGACCGUUCUUCAGUUCAUCAUAAGUUAUCGUCCCACUGUUGUCAGUAUCGAUCAUUUUGAACAACUCCUUUAAGCCCCCGAUCUCCUCCUCAGAUAGGCUUUCAGCAAUCACCUGCACGAACAAAAAGAUUCAUCUGAAAAGAUCAAUUUCCAUGGUCAUUGCACAUACCAUCACCUCUUAUUAAACAUUUGCAACCUUAUGCCAUGCCUGUUAUGCAAGAAACCAGUUAAUCUAGAGUUCAAGCAAACAAUAUUGUAAAACCCCAUAGUGAAAAACCGAGCAUUAGUUGUUUUAGAAUUGUGUCAGACACUUAAGCCAAAACAAAGAACCUCUUCUCUUCCAACAAAAAGAAUCUGUUUUGAAACUCCUGGUCCCUUCAUUCCUUGCAUCAGAUGACCACUGACCAUACUGCCCAUGAAACCUCCUUUCCCAAAAUCAAAUGCUUCCUAAUGCCCUUAUCUGAGAACACUUGGUCAAAUCCGGUGUGCCAUUGCUGCUACCAAUGCAACACAGCCCCAGAUCUUAGCAUUUACUGCUUCCUGUCACUAAUAUUGAAAUUGUCCUCCCGAAUCAACAAACAAACAAGGACAACAAGAGGUGAACAUGACCAAGGCAUUGUUGAACUAAGAGGGUGAUGGUAGCGUAGUCACCAAGGUGGGUCAAUGGGUGGAACUAGACAUGAGAUGUUGGCAGUGCAAACCCCACUCAAUCAAGCAAUAGAAGUGCACAGUUGUAAUGUGUAAAACAAUGAGGUCCAGUCGCUAACCAGUUUGCAGCUCACCACCAUACAGAUGCUCACCACCUACAGUCACUCACCUUUCUGACAUCUUACCGUUGCUACCAUUAGUGGCCUCCUGCUGCUAGUGUCAAGCAGUCUUUAGCCAUGGGUUCAAUGGCUUUUGUGGUCGGUAGUCAUAGAAUACCAUGGCUGGCAUCCAGGUCUCGCACUAGUGCAGCUGAAGGGAUUGGAGACAACAGGGUUGGAUCUGGGAGGACUGUUCUUUUGGAAAGAAACAGGUUCUGUGAAUUGUAUGAAAGGUGACAUGUAGGCCAGCUUUUUUGUUUAUUGGGACUGUGUGAGUGUGUGACAUCGAUGGUUGGUGUGGCAGAACUGCCAUUAAAAAGAACAGGUGGCUAAAUGACUGGUUUCAAAAGCUUUGGUUUUUAAGCAGAUGUGUGUAAAUUGGGCUUUCUAAAAAUUAAAGGGGACAAAUACAGAUUUAAAGUGCACAAAAAAUCCAGUUAACAUGGAAAACCAGGAGAAAGAGAAAGGAAAAGAUUCAUAUGAAGUUAACUUGAGUGCACAACACAGUAGGCAGUAAGGCAGUGUCAUAAUAGAAAUGACGCACUGACCGUAACAUUGCGGUACUGAAUUUCGUUUGCAACAUAAUCACACAUCAAUGGGAUAAAAGUUCUUAUUUGAGAAAAAUGAAGUUCUUCUUACCCUCAAUGCCAUCUUCUUAAGCUUGUUCAUUGCAGAAAAGUUUUUCAGCCUUGACAAAACAGCAGAAUCAAUAGGCUUAUCAGGUGCGACAGCAUCAUCAACAAUCCAUGGAUGACCUGGCAUAGUCAAUGUCACCAUGUUUAAUAAGAACGAACUUCCAUGACCCAGGAGCACAAGCAUGCAUACAGAAUCUCAGACAGAGAGAGGGAGGGCAUGUAGGCAGAAAACUUACAUAGAACCUCAUGAGCAGUCAAUCUCUUCGUAGGAUCCCGGAUAAGCAUCUUACGGACUAGAUCUUUAGCACUAUCAGAGAUACUUGGCCAUGGUUCAGAUUCCAAGUCAAGUUUGCCUCGCAAAAUCUGCCUGAAGAUUCCAGCUUCACUUUCUGAAAGGAGGGGGAAACAGGAAGAUUUUACAUAUGGAAACAUGCUAAUAUCAGUAAACGACAAUCAAUCUCAACGUAGAAAUUCAAUGGUUGGAAUAACAAACAAUUUACCUGCCCAGAAUGGGGGUACACCACAUAGCAAAAUAUACAGAAUAACUCCAGCACUCCAGACAUCAGCUUCUGGGCCAUAGCAUUUCUGGAGCACCUCAGGGGCAACAUAAUAGGGGCUACCAACAACGUCAGCAAAUUUGUCACCUGGAGAUAUAGCAAGGAAUAUCUUUCAGUGUGUGUUCUGUUAAUCACUUCAAGCAAAACAGAAUAAACCACAGCAUUAACUGAAGACUUCAUUAAACACUACUUUAACCACAACACCACAUUUGUCACAAAAUCUGUUACAGUUCUACGAGAGAAGACAGUUCUUGCCAUCAACCUUGAAAGGCUUAUUGGCCUAUUGCUAUUGACAAGUAUUCUAGUUGCAACGCAGAUUUAUUUGUCCCCAGUACUAAUAUAUACUAGUUCUCAUGUUAGCAACAUUUUGACAGGGAUUCUUUAUAUUCUAACAAAAUGAGCCACAUAUGGAAAUGAAAUGUUAACAUGCUUGCUGGUGUAUCAAAACUAUCUAUGAAGAGCAGUACUCCCUACCAAACCCAAUGCUAGCAGUUAGCGCGCAUACCAUUGCCGCAUCAAGUGAACCAAAUAGCAACAUUGUACAGCACAAAUAUUAAACGUCAGCACAAACAAUUGCACAGAUACGCACCGGGCUUGUAGAACACCGAUAGCCCAAAAUCAGUGGCCUUGAGCGGGGCAUCCUCUGCAGUGCUCGCGAAGAGGAAGUUCUCCGGCUUGAGGUCCCGGUGCAUGACGCCGAGCGAGUGGCAUCCCUCCACCACCCCGACGAUCGUCCUGAUGAGCUGCGCGGCGGCGCGCUCGCUGUAGUGUCCCUUGGCGACGAUGCGGUCGAAGAGCUCGCCGCCGGCGCAGAGCUCCAUGACGAGAUGCACGAAGAGCGCGUCCUCGUAGGCGCCGCGGAUGCGGACGACGUUGGGGUGCUCGGAAAGGUGGUGCAUGAUCUGGAUCUCGCGCCACACGUCCUCGUAGUCCUCGCGGCACAGCAGUUUGCGCUUGGGGAUGGAUUUGCAGGCGUACUCGGCGCCGUCCGCCUUGCCCACGCACUGGUACGUGGUGCCGAACUGCCCCUGCCCCAGCUUCUUCCCGAUGCGGUAGUGGUCGCGCACGUUGUCCGUCUUGUGCGGCAGCACCGACGCCGGCCGCCCCGCCGACCCCGUCGUCACCGGCGGCGGCAGCCGGGCGUGCGCAUUGGCGCCGCCCGCCUUUCCCCUGCCCGGGCCUUGCGGGUCCGGCUGCAUUUCCUUUCGCCGGCGGUGAUUCCUCCCCGGAUCAAGAACCGUAACCGUACGGACGGCCUGCCCUUCCUGGAAAAAACCGCGGCGAGGCUCGACGAAUUCGCACCGUCGACCAAUCAGAAAUGGAAACCUUUUCCAAUUCCGGCUACUAUUCUGGGAGCUUUCCGGGGAAAUCUACACGGAUUGGAACCGAAUAACUCGAAGGAUUGGAUCUUGGCGUGGGGGGCUCUCGCCUUUGGGGAUUCCUGGGGAAAUGGCCGACGAAUUGGGCGCGACAGAGGAGCUUUAGCGGAGGUUUAUGCGGCCGCGCAGGCCGAAGAACAGAGGAGAAACGCCAACAGGAAGGCGAAGAUGAGGAGCAACGGGAUUGCUCUGUUCUUCUCUCCCCUCUGGGAUUGAUGGAUUGGUUCCUGCGGGGGAUUUAAGGAGAGGUCACAUGCCAAGGUUGGAUUUUUCCUCCAUGUGAGGGUGGAAAUCUACACGGCUAGGUUUGGUGAUUGCUCGGGCCUUGGAUUGGGUCUACAAAUGGGAACGGAUCGCUAGGGCAUGUGGGGGAGCAUGUCGGUGGUUAUCGCCUUCGCCUCCCUUCGCGAGGAGAGAGCGCAGAGGGGGGAGGGGGGAGGAGAGAGGAGGAAGACAACGUGGUCGGAAACUACCCCUUUCCAUUACUUUUCUAUUUCUUUUAUUUAUUUAUCUAAUAGUUUAUCACUACAUUGUUGGAGCUUCUGUUUAAUAUACUAAAAUUUUUGUAUCAUCUUUUUAUACAAAUAUACUGAAGUUAUCUGAAAACUUGAAGGUCUAUUUAGGGCACCCUUAUUAUCAAAUUAAUCGUGGCACGUCGUCAGGAUUCGAAAUUAUUUCCAUAAUUUGUUUUCAGUUGGUAAGAUGCUACGUUAGCACAAUUAUCCAAUCCUACGAGGUGCCAAUAAUGGGAAAACUCAUCUACAACUAGUUCAUCAAUUAUGAUAGGCGUCGAUCACCAAAUUCCCAGCUUAUCCAAUUUGAGGCUGUGGGACUAUUGCUAUGCAGGACUGUAGGAGUAUGGCAAGAAACUCUCCAACCUCUCAAUGAGGCCUCCGUUCAAUUAGACUGAGAGCUCAUAUCUCACCGGGCCCUAUCAUGAUUGUUGAAGGCAAUGGCAUGCUAGUGCUACAAUACAAUAUGCACAUUUCUUCUAAUGAGUUGCCACUCUUUGGCACAUGUCCUUGUACAUUUUCACCGAUCAGACAUUGCAAUGUUUUCUUUCGUGAAAGUGGCUAGGUGUUAAAAAUAGUAAUCUUGUUGGGCCUGUUGAUUAAUUAAAACUUAUUUGACAAUGAAAGCCAACCUGCGCAAAGACGAAAAUGAAGCCCAUUUGCCAUGGCACUGGUAAGUCCUGACCUAUCUCGAAAGAUCAUUUCCGUGGGGGGUACCGUACUAUAGUGGUAUGGAACUACCACUUUUGCAGACGCAUAUCCUAAUGAUUCCUUUUAAAAUUUUGCAGAGAUGCAUGAGAAGGAAGGUGCCAAGACGUGCAAUGGGAUGAACACUAAUACUAAACAAAGACACAACACGCAUGUAUAAAAAUAAAAUCUAAAACGAUAGUGAAAGCCGUUCAUUUUCAAUGGGAUAACAUGCGUCCCCACUAACCACGCAUUGAUCUAAUGAUCUCCUUGUCGUCUUUGACUUUUUGCACCAAACUCUUGGGCAAGUCUUCCGACGAACAAAAGCGUUAGAAAACAUUGCAGAUAUGAUAGGACUCUGUCCAUAACCUUCUGAAAUUGAUGUUGCCUGCUUACACGAAUAAAAUGCCAAAUAAGCAUAGUGACCCGUCUUGAUUUCUGUUCAUGUAUACACUGUACUACAUUUGUCAAAUUAAUCUUCGAUGUUGCUCCAAGUUUUAAGCCAGCUAGUGUUCUAACAUGUUAAUCAUCAUUAGGCUUGCGGUCUCGUCUGUGUUCUUUUCCCUUUUGAAAUUAUAAUGCCAGGUGGCAAUAAUGAACAUAAAAAAACAAGAGCACAUUAUUUUGUGUGUCGAUCAUACCCAACAGUCAUGAUGUAAUUUAUUCCCCAUCAUCUCAUAGCCUCUUUUUAUUAAAAAAAAAAAGUGUGUCAAGUUAAACGAAUCGUGAUGCGGACAUUUGGAUAUCAUCUUGAUCGUCGUCUCUUCAAGGAAAACCAUAAUGCGAAUACUGGAGUGGUUGCUCGCAUUUUUUUUCUGAAUUUAUUUCAUGAAAAAGGAAUAGUUAUACCAUCUUCAUACAUAAAAGAAUUAUUAUUGUUUUAUUUUUUGAAAACAUAAGAGAAGAACCAAUGCUAUAGCCAUGACUCACAAAUUACAGGACGAAGCUGAUUUCAACGUAAGUGUAGAAUUUACUGUAAGAAUUACCACUUCUCUUUUGGAUUGGGGCAUUGGGCUGUGCAUUGGCAACUACGAGGCAGUCAGGUAGAGAUUAGUUAAAUAUCUAAUCACCGAUCAGUGUGAAUUAACUUUAUUAAUCUCCACUUGAACAAAGGUAGCCGACAUCAGCUUCGGCAAAGUAACAUAAACAAAGGGAAGCCAAGUCAGAACCAUUGCCUGUUCUCUGCGAGGGUUAGAGAGAAAAACAGCCAUUGCUAAAAGCAACAUGCCAUAUGAAUGGGUCAUGGAUUUAUCAGGAGGCACUGCCAAGAUCGUCAUGCCUCUCUUUUUUACGCUCAGGAAUCAUACCAAACCAUAUCAAGGAUAAAUUCUUUGCGCACAUGGCUCAACAGCAACAGAGAGAGCAAGAUAUGCUCUUUGGAGCUCUACUCUACAUUGCCACAAUUCCUUGCUUCAAAAAAACAUUACCAAAAGUCCAUUGUCAGUCAGAUUCAUGCUCACUAAUAUAUUUUUAACAUAUUUGACCGCGCAGUUUGCAAUCAGCCUAAUGGCCAAGUGGAGGAUGCUUUUUUUUAAGAGCAAUGCAAAUGGAGGAUUUUAUACAAAUUUGACCGGUCAAGCCUGAUGAAUCAUUCACAUGAUAGCUUCCUUUGACCAUAUGAUGCUAAGUUGCUAGCCACUGACCAAGAUUCAGAAAAUCGAAACCUGAUCUGGACAUGCUACGGUGUUGACAUUCCAGGAUAUUAUCAUGCGACUCCAGGAAAAACACAA
rnacentral:lncRNA from 1 species